rnacentral:rRNA from 1 species
CCUACGGGUGGCAGCAGUGAGGAAUAUUGGUCAAUGGGCGCGAGCCGGAACCAGCCAAGUAGCGUGAAGGAUGACUGCCCUACGGGUUGUAAACUUCUUUUAUAAAGGAAUAAAGUGAGGCACGUGUGCCUCUUUGUAUGUACCUUAUGAAUAAGGAUCGGCUAACUCCGCGCCAGCAGCCGCGGUAAUACGGAGGAUCCGAGCGUUAUCCGGAUUUAUUGGGUUUAAAGGGAGCGUAGAUGGGUUGUUAAGUCAGUUGUGAAAGUUUGCGGCUCAACCGUAGAAUUGCAGUUGAUACUGGCAGUCUUGAGUACAGUUGAGGUAGGCGGAAUUCGUGGUGUAGCGGUGAAAUGCUUAGAUAUCACGAAGAACUCCGAUUGCGAAGGCAGCUUACUAAACUGCAACUGACAUUGAUGCUCGAAAGUGUGGGUAUCAAACAGGAUUAGAUACCCCAGUAGUC